rnacentral:lncRNA from 1 species
AUAAUGUCAAGGCUGAAGGUUGCUAGCGUUUUGUCAAACGCUUAUCACAUCGUUACUAGUACGUAAUAUUAUAUAUAGUCAGUAUAAGUGUCAGUCAUGUUGGACUUAGGAGGUCCUUCUGUUAAGCUUUCUUUUGAUUUUCUUCAUGUACUUUUAUUUUAAGUUUUAUCUACGUGGCAAGGCCACUAGUCUUAACGGUGUCAAACUUUAUGUAAAACAUAUUUGAAGCAUAUAUAUGUGAAGUAGUAUCUUUUAAUUAA